AACGAACGCUGGCGGCAGGCUUAACACAUGCAAGUCGAACGCCCCGCAAGGGGAGUGGCAGACGGGUGAGUAACGCGUGGGAAUCUACCCAGUUCUACGGAACAACAGUUGGAAACGACUGCUAAUACCGUAUACGCCCUACGGGGGAAAGAUUUAUCGGAAUUGGAUGAGCCCGCGUAAGAUUAGCUAGUUGGUGGGGUAAUGGCCUACCAAGGCGACGAUCUUUAGCUGGUCUGAGAGGAUGAUCAGCCACACUGGGACUGAGACACGGCCCAGACUCCGACGGGAGGCAGCAGUGGGGAAUAUUGGACAAUGGGCGCAAGCCUGAUCCGGCCAUGCCGCGUGAGUGAUGAAGGCCUUAGGGUUGUAAAGCUCUUUCACCGAUGAAGAUAAUGACGGUAGUCGGAGAAGAAGCCCCGGCUAACUUCGUGCCAGCCGCCGCGGUAA
rnacentral:rRNA from 1 species